rnacentral:rRNA from 1 species
CGAGGGGAGCCCUAGCACAGGUGCUGCAUGGCCGUCGUCAGCUCGUGCCGUGAGGUGUUGGGUUAAGUCCCGCAACGAGCGCAACCCCCGCCGUUAGUUGCCAGCGGUUCGGCCGGGCACUCUAACGGGACUGCCCGCGAAAGCGGGAGGAAGGAGGGGACGACGUCUGGUCAGCAUGGCCCUUACGGCCUGGGCGACACACGUGCUACAAUGCCCACUACAAAGCGAGGCCACCCGGCAACGGGGAGCUAAUCGCAAAAAGGUGGGCCCAGUUCGGAUUGGGGUCUGCAACCCGACCCCAUGAAGCCGGAAUCGCUAGUAAUCGCGGA